UACGUAGGGACCAAGCGUUGUUCGGAUUUACUGGGCGUAAAGGGCUCGUAGGCGGCCAACUAAGUCGGACGUGAAAUCCCUCAGCUUAACUGGGGAACUGCGUCCGAUACUGGAUGGCUUGGAUUUGGGAGAGGGAUGCGGAAUUCCAGGUGUAGCGGUGAAAUGCGUAGAUAUGUGGAGGAACACCGAUGGCGAAGGCAGCCUCCUGGGCCAGCACUGACGCUCAUGCACGAAAGCGUGGGGAGCAAACAGG
rnacentral:rRNA from 1 species